UCCGUAGGUGGAUAAUUAAGUCGGAGGUGAAAUCCUGCAGCUCAACUGUAGAAUUGCCUUUGAUACUGGUUAUCUUGAGUCAUUAUGAAGUGGUUAGAAUGUGUAGUGUAGCGGUGAAAUGCAUAGAUAUUACACAGAAUACCGAUUGCGAAGGCAGAUCACUAAUAAUGUACUGACACUGAGGGACGAAAGCGUGGGGAGCGAACAGGAUUAGAUACCCUGGUAGUCC
rnacentral:rRNA from 1 species